GUAGGGGCCGAAACCGUUGUCCGGAUUUAUUGGGCGUAAAGGGCUCGUAGGCGGUUCGACAAGUCGGCCGUGAAAACCCGGGGCGUCAACCCCGGGACGCCGGUCGAAACUGUCGUGACUAGGGUCCGGUAGAGGUGAGUGGAAUUCUCGGUUUAGCGGUGAAAUGCGCAGAUAUCGAGAGGAACACCAGUAGCGAAGGCGGCUCACUGGGCCGGUACCGACGCUGAGGAGCGAAAGCGUGGGGAGCAAACAGGAUUAGAUACCCUGGUAGUCCCACGCCGUAAACGUUGAGCACUAGGUGUGGCGGUAUUUAUCAACGUCUGCCCGUGCCGCAGCUAACGCAUUAAGUGUUCCGCCGUGGGGAGUACGGCCGCAAGGCUA
rnacentral:rRNA from 1 species